CCGUAGCUCAGCUGGCAGAGCAGUUGACUCUUAAUCAAUUGGUCGGGGGUUCGAAUCCCUCCUC
rnacentral:tRNA from 1 species